CCUACGGGAGGCAGCAGUCGAGAAUCAUUCACAAUGGGGGAAACCCUGAUGGUGCGACGCCGCGUGGGGGAAUGAAGGUCUUCGGAUUGUAAACCCCUGUUAUGUGGGAGCAAAUUAAAAAGAUAGUACCACAAGAGGAAGAGACGGCUAACUCUGAUCCAGCAGCCGCGGUAAUACAGAGGUCUCAAGCGUUGUUCGGAAUCACUGGGCGUAAAGGGUGCGUAGGCUGUUUCGUAAGUCGUGUGUGAAAGGCGCGGGCUCAACCCGCGGACGGCACAUGAUACUGCGAGACUAGAGUAAUGGAGAGGGAAGCGGAAUGCGCGGUGUAGCAGUGAAAUGCGUAGAUAUCGAGAGGAACACUCGUGGCGAAGGCGGGUUCCUGGACAUUAACUGACGCUGAGGCACGAAGGCCAGGGGAGCGAAAGGGAUUAGAUACCCUUGUAGUC
rnacentral:rRNA from 1 species